CCAGACUCCUACGGGAGGCAGCAGUGAGGAAUAUUGGUCAAUGGGCGGGAGCCUGAACCAGCCAAGCCGCGUGAAGGAAGAAGGCGCCAGGCGUCGUAAACCCCUUUUGUCAGGGAACAAAGACUGGGACGCGUCCCCGGAUGAGUGUACCUGAAGAAAAAGCAUCGGCUAACUCCGUGCCAGCAGCCGCGGUAAUACGGAGGAUGCGAGCGUUAUCCGGAUUUAUUGGGUUUAAAGGGUGCGCAGGCGGAGGUGCAAGUCAGCGGUCAAAUUGCGGGGCUCAACCCCGUACUGCCGUUGAAACUGCAUCCCUUGAGUGCGCGAGAAGUAUGCGGAAUGCGUGGUGUAGCGGUGAAAUGCAUAGAUAUCACGCAGAACUCCGAUUGCGAAGGCAGCAUACCGGCGCGCAACUGACGCUCAUGCACGAAAGCGUGGGUAUCGAACAGGAUUAGAUACCCUAGUA
rnacentral:rRNA from 1 species